rnacentral:rRNA from 1 species
AGUGAACGCUGGCGGCAGGCUUAACACAUGCAAGUCGACCGAAUGGCGGACUGGUGAGUAAUGCUUGGGACUCUGGCGUAUGGAGUGGUAUAACUACGGGAAACUGUAGAUAAUACCGCUUACGCUCGUUUGGGCCCAAGUGGGAUUAGGUAGUUGGGGAGGGAAAGGCUAACCAAGACGACGCUCUCUAGCUGGUCUGAGAGGAUGACCAGCCACCCUGGGACUGAGACACGGCCCAGACUCCUACGGGAGGCAGCAGUGGGGAAUAUUGCGCAAUGGGGGCAACCUGACGCAGCCAUUCCGCGGGAAUGAAGAAGGCCUUCGGGUUGUAAAGUUCUUUCGGUAGCGAGGCGUUAACUACAGAAGAAGCACCGGCUAACGCCGUGCCAGCAGCCGCGGUAAUUC